rnacentral:rRNA from 1 species
GUCGAGGGAGAUUGUUGGAUUCGUCUGACAUGAAACCGGCGCACGGGUGCGUAACACGUAUGCAACCUACCUUUAACUGGGGUAUAGCUCAGAGAAAUCUGAAUUAAUCCCCCAUAAGACUACGACAUGGCAUCAUGAUGUAGUUAAAGCUCCGGCGGUUAAGGAUGGGCAUGCGGUACAUUAGCUAGUUGGUGAGGUAAUGGCUCACCAAGGCUACGAUGUAUAGGGGGUCUGAGAGGAUGAUCCCCCACACUGGUACUGAGACACGGACCAGACUCCUACGGGAGGCAGCAGUAGGGAAUAUUGGUCAAUGGACGCAAGUCUGAACCAGCCAUGCCGCGUGAAGGAUGAAGGCCCUAUGGGUCGUAAACUUCUUUUAUUAGGGAAGAAAAAAUGGGAUGCGUCCCAUACUGACGGUACUUAAUGAAUAAGGAUCGGCUAACUUCGUGCCAGCAGCCGCGGUAAGACGAAGGAUCCAAGCGUUGUCCGGAUUUACUGGGUUUAAAGGGUGCGUAGGCGGAAAAUUAAGUCAGUGGUGAAAGCCCGCAGCUCAACUGUGGAACUGCCAUUGAAACUGGUUUUCUUGAAUAUAGCUGAGGCAGAUGGAAUAUAACAUGUAGCGGUGAAAUGCUUAGAUAUGUUAUAGAACACCGAUUGCGAAGGCAGUCUGCUAAACUAUUAUUGACGCUGAGGCACGAAAGCGUGGGGAGCGAACAGGAUUAGAUACCCUGGUAGUCCACGCCCUAAACG